rnacentral:lncRNA from 1 species
GACAACUCGCGGGGAUUGUUUUCCACACCGUGGAAGCUUUGUUCUUUUCGUUUUUUGCAAUAAAUCUUGUUGCUGCUCGCUUUUUGGGUCCACAUUGCUUUUAUGAGCUGUACCACUCACCGUGAAGAUCUGCAGCUUCACUUCAGAGCCUAGCGAGACCACAAGCUCACUGAGAGGAACAAACAACUCCAGACGCGCUGUCUUAAGAGCUAUAACACUCACCGCGAAGGUGUGCAGUUUCACUCCUGAGCUAGUGAGACUACGAAGCCACUGGAACGAAGAAACUCCAACCACGUUUGAACAUCAGAAGGGGCAGACUCCAGACGCUUCAUCUUAAGAGCUGUAACACUCACUGUGAAGGUCUGCAGCUUCACUCCUGAGCCAGCGAGACCACGAACCGAUCUGAACAUCAGAAGGGACAGACUCCAGAUGCCCCACCUUAAGAGCUGUAAUACUCACUGCAAGGGUCUGCAGCUUCAUUCUUGAAGUCAGACCAAGAACCCAGCAAUUCCCAACACACAGGGACCAGCUUCUUUCCUAACUCACUUAGGCUCUUCGUGCUGCUCUGGCAACUAACACCCUUGGCUGCAGGGGCUUGGACACUACCCUUAGUCACUGACAAUUGUGUGAAGGCUGCUGUCGUUAACUUCACUUGAUCACCUUAGGCUCCUGUGAAGUGGUGAGCAAUUCAAACAAAUUCCUGUCGUCAAAUCAUCAUUAAGAAGA